GGGCAUAUAGCUCAGUGAUAGAGUGCUUGUCUAGUAUGUAUGAGCCAUGGGUUCAGUCCCAUUACCCUCC
rnacentral:tRNA from 1 species